UACGGAGGGUGCGAGCGUUGUCCGGAAUCACUGGGCGUAAAGGGCGCGUAGGCGGCUCAAGCAGCGUGUGGUGAAAGCUCGGGGCUCAACCCCGAGUCGGCCGUGCGAACUCUUGGGCUGGAGUGCUGUAGAGGCGGGCGGAAUUCCGGGUGUAGCGGUGGAAUGCGUAGAGAUCCGGAAGAACACCGGUGGCGAAGGCGGCCCGCUGGGCAGUGACUGACGGCUGAGGCGCGAAAGCGUGGGGAGCGAACAGG
rnacentral:rRNA from 1 species